rnacentral:lncRNA from 10 species
GAAAAUUGUAACAUACUUUAUUUAAAGAGUAUUGCUAGUACCUACAUUUGAAUAUAUAAUUAUGCAUAAUUAUAUGUAUUAUUUUUCUGUGGCAAUUUUUGUAGAGUAAUAAAGGUCAAAAUUUCUAGCUUCUCAGUCUUGUAGUGUCUCUCAACUCUUUUGUUCUACAUUUACUGCUCUUCAAUAAACUAUUUCCAACAGUAACUUCUCUUUCUACUGACUCUCUUGACAGUGCUUUUGUUAAUCAAGAACUUCCCCAGGUGACUAUGAAAUGAGAUCCAGGCCACACCACUUUGUGCCACUCUAUUUCUCUAUAAGAAACAGAAAACACCAUGACUAAAGCCAAGGGACUAGGCACAAGACAGCUUUCAGCUUAUUUUUAUCUUCAGGUUUCACAAUUAAAAGGUAAAGAGGGCUUCCAAACAUCUGUCACUCCAGGAAUAUGAACGUGUUGAAAGUUACGACCCUGGAAGUGAUCAGUUGCUGCAUGUUAACAAAGCAUGCCCCCAACUGCAUACCUGGGAUGAAAAUGAUGGCUGGCUUGGUGAGUCACUCAACCCCCGAGGACAUUUUUGCAAAUAGAGGCAAAAUGUCAAGACCUUUCUCAAAAAUUAAAUCAGCAAGCCCCCUAGUUAUCCUCCUGGCUCAAGCAGAGGGAGUAAAUUCCUGUUCCCUGAAGCACCUUGUAAGAGCAACGCUGCCUGAGCACAGUUCAGAGAUGCCUUUAGCAUGAAUGGAGGCUGGAAAAAAAUAGCCUUUUCAGAAUGUAAAGCAGGAAAAGUUUUCUCUUCCUCGAAACCUGUAUGAAAUACUUUUAUUUAGAAAAAUAAUUACUCUGUAGGACCAAUGCAAAGGAGAUAUAUCAGUAAUCCCUAAGCAAGUUCAAAAUUUUAAGCAACAAUUUCAUUUACUUAUAAUGUCCUUUUUAUAAAGACAUAUGAAUAUAUGUUUCCAUGGGUACAUAUUUCAGAUACUGCAGUCUAUUUUCAGCUUUAUCUGUUUUAAACUUGGCUUUGCCAAAAGAUUUUAAUUACAACCAUACCAUACUUUCAGCCAUGCUGUUCGGUUGAAUCUUCCGCAAUAAUGAAGAUGGUCCAUAUCUACAUUGUCCAAAAUGGUAGCCUCUAUGUUUUGUGUACACAAUAUUGUGCAUCAUGUAAGAAGGGACUAUGUAUGCCCAUGUAUAAUCAGUGAGAACUUGAAAUGUGGCUAGCAAGCUGAAUAACUAAAUUUGUAAUUUUAAAAUUGUAAUUAAUUUAAUUUAAAAUAGCCAUGUGUGGCUACUCUAUUGGUAUUGAAUGGCAAAGCUAUUUAGAACAACUCUCUCAAGCUUUAAUAUGUACCAGGGGAUCCCAUCAAAAAGAAAAUUCAGAUGUCAUGUGUCUAAGGUGGAUCCUGAAAGUUUGCAUUUCUAGCAAGCUCCCAGGUGAUGCUGAUCCUCGUGCUCAACAAACUACACUUCAAGUAGCAAGGCUCUUAAAAAGUCAUUCUCAAACUUUGCUCCACAUUAAAAUAACCUGGAUAGCAUUAAAACCCAAAUGCCCACUCUGAACUCAAUAUCAAACAAAUCAAGUGUUCUUGGUGAAUCAUAGUCAUCAGUAUGUUUUUUACAUCUCUUUAUGUGACUCCAACGUCCAGCUAAGUUUGAAAACUAGUGCUUUGAAAAAGUGCUUAUUUUUACAGUGCAUAAAAAUCACCUGGGGAUCUUGUUUACAGAUUGGAAUUCACUUGUGAAGUGGAUCCUGAGGUUGUUGCAUUUCUUGUAAGUUUCCAGGUAAUUCCAAGGUUACUAGUCUGUUCUACACAUUGCUACUCAAAGGAUGUGUCAUGGAACAAAAUAAUUGGCAUCAACUGAGACCGUUUUAGAAAUUUACAACUUAGGGCUCCACCCUAGACUAAUUGAAUCAGAAUCUGUACUUGAACAGCAUUCACAAGCAAUUUGCACGUACAUUAUAAUUAAAGGAGUACUGUCCUCAAAAUCUUAACCAUUUUUUGUUUAUAUUGAGUUUAAGAGUAUUGGCAGGUUAGAAUUUGAGCUCAGUGAUCCCAGGUCCAGCAGUAUCUCCAUCACCAAGAACUUAUUAGAAAUGCAAAUUCCACCUCAUAUGUCAGAAUAAUAUUCUGGGGAUAGGGCCCAGCAAGCUGUUUUACUGAACCCUUUUGGUGAUUGCUCAUGCAUACUAAAUUUUGAAAAAUAUUGUUCUGGCUUUUGUUGAGUUCAGAAUCCUGAAAAAAAGUGCUUUAUUAAUAUUUAAUUUGUAUCAUUCUUGAAAUGUAUUUGAGACCCAUACCAGUAUGAUGUCCUCUUCACUUGAUCACGUCUGCAAAGUUUGUGUUUCCAUGAGGUUCCGAGUGGACAUGAAUUUUAGGGGACACUAUUCAACCUAGUACAACCUCUGUCCCCAACAAGGGGAUAAAGGUUUGGAAAGAAGGCAAGCAAGGAACUCUUGUUAGGUAUCUACUUAUUCAUUUAGUCUAUCUUUCACAAUUUACCCAAUAACAUUGUGAAGUAAGUAGUAUAUCUCCAUUGGACAAAUGAAAAAAGUCCAAAAACAAGGUUAAAAGACAGCAAGUAAUGAUUAAGGGCAUAUGUCCAAUUUGUAGCAGAACUUGAUUUAAACUAGAUCUUGUCUGAUUUUUAAAAUUUUAAUUUAAUUUUAUUAAUUGACUAAUAAUAAUUGUACAUAUCCAUGGGGUGCAUAGUGAUGUUUUAAUAUAUAUAAUGUAUAGUGAUCAGAUCAGGGUAAUUAACAUGUCCAUCAUCUUAAACAUUCAUUAUUUCUUUGUGUGGGGAACAUUUAACAUCCUCCUAGCUAUUUGAAACUAUACUGUUAACCGUAGUCAUCCUACAGUGGUAUAGAACACUGGAGUUCAUUCCUCCUAUUGAUUUUUAACUAAAAUCUAUGCUCUUUCUAUCCCACCAUGAUCCAUAUUGGCUCAUAACAGACCUCCCUGCCCUACUACAUCCCAUAAGAUAGAAUACUAUACUUCAAUUGUAUAAACUAAAUAUUAAAAGCAUUGUUAAAGUGUUGAAAAGACAAUACAUUUAUUCUUAGAGUCCUACAUAUAUGCAUUGCCUAACUUUCAGACACAGGGGACUUUCCAAUUCUGCCUAUUUAUCAUUUUAACAACUACCUUCUGAUGUAAUGUCAGGGGCAUGACGAAACACAGCAUUUGCCAAGGGUAAAUCGUGUUCCCCUUGGCCUUAUAUAUUAUUCUCCUCCUUCCCUGAUACCUACAUAUAUGUACUAACUGGCCAUUGAUGUCAUAGUGAGAGGUGACAGCGUGCUGGCAGUCCUCACAACCCUCGCUCACUCUCGGUGCCUCCUCUGCCUGGGCUCACACUUUGGCGGCACUUGAGGA